rnacentral:misc_RNA from 1 species
AAGAACAGAUAUAUCAGCCAGCAGGCCUAGAGCGCAGUUCUGCGCUCUUUUCCGCCUACGUCUGUGACGCGAAAGCUGCAGUUUAGGUUUUUUUCGGUCUUAUUCGGCGCAGCGAAUGAGCCGGCCCAAUGUGAAGUGCUCUGCCGUGGGGAGUCGCAACCUCAACAGCACGUCUGUAGAACGUAACACAUUGCGGAGCGAUGGCAAGUUGUCACUGGAGAACAUUAUGCUGCAGUUUCUUUGUGGUGAACAGCUUAGGCUCGAGUACGCCAUGGAAAUUGUUCAACAGGCUGCGCUUGUCCUUCGAACGGAACCAAACACGCUUUCGAUUAACGACACUGUAGUUGUCGUCGGAGAUAUUCAGGGCCAAUACUACGAUUUGGUGAAGAUUUUAGCGGCUUGUGGCUCCUUGGACACGACGAAGUACCUUUUUCUAGGCAACUACAUCGGCAAUGGAGGAUUCAACCUGGAGUGUAUUCUUUUCCUGCUGGCGGCGAAAGUCGCUCACCCGCAUUCAAUUUUUUUGAUCCGAGGAAGCAAUGAAUCUAAAUUUAUGGCAGACGUUCUUCAACUCGGCAAGGAGUGCCAGCUCAAAUACUCUAGCACUUUGUUGCCGCAGAUACUGUCGGCGUUCAACUGUUUGCCACUAGCGGCAAUAAUCCGAAAAAAGUUUUUCUGCGUUCACUCGGGACUCUCCCCAGACGUGUCACAUGUAGACGACAUUGCACUGAUUCACCGCUUCCGGCACAUUCCAACGCGAGGGGCGAUGUGUGAUAUGGUGUGGUCUGAGCCGGAUUGGGACACCAACAAUCAGCUGUACAACAAUGUUGAGGAGCCUUCGGGCGAGACAUAUGUUCCACGACUCGGUUUGUUCGAGACACGACCACUCUUCAUCACGAACAAGCAACGGGGUCUCAGCUACGUGUUCAACUUUGCGUGUGCAAAACGUUUUGUAUCGGCGAACAACCUUCUCUGUAUCAUUCGAGCUCACGAGGUUCAUGAGCUUGGGUUUAAACUGUAUCGCCCGCACCCAAACCACCUGUUCCCUUGCAUAAUUUCUCUCUUUUCGGCUCCAAAUUACUGUUCCAGUUUCGGCAACAAAGGCGCAGUUUUAGUGGUUUCAAAGGAAACUAUCUGCUUCAAGCAGUUCGAGCCUUCGCCUCAUCCAUGCGUACUGCAAGGUCGAAACGCAUUUUCGUGGUCUCUACCUUUCUUGGAGAGCAACCUCAUGUCCAUUUUCCUGACCCUCUUGUCAGGCUCCGAUUAUGACCCAACGAUUGCUGACAGAUCUGAAAAGGGCUCCAGCAACGGAGAGGGAGGUGUCACGCCACUCAUUUGAAGCAUUAAUGAUGAUGGCACACUUCUUGGCGCAAAGGGACGCGCUUGCGCAUGUAGUGGAUCUUCGAGCCCCCGCCUCAUACGCAACAGCGGCCAUUUACCCCUCUUGCUUUUUGCUGCGCAUUUCUGUAAUGGCCACAUCCUGGUUCUUUCUUGCUUUCUCUUCCUUCUUUUGGUGUCGCUUUUGCCCUCUCAAAUGCAGACCACGAAACACGACUGGGCUCUCUUCAAGUUCUUGGAGCACGAAGGAGCAACUUGUGCACGGCAUCUGAUCGGCGUGUGCCCCAUUCAUCAAGUCAUCUCAACCGAUAUGGUGUGAGUAGAGCGGCCAGCGAAGCCACCUUAUUCUAAGGCAGUCGACACCCAAGAAGAGGAGUC